CAAAAACAACCGAGAAGAAGUUUGUGAAUGAUAUUAUGGAGCGGAAACCAAUUCUUCUUUGUCUUAUGGUGCUUCUGCUGCUAGGAAAUUCCACUUAUGCUGAAAAUUGCAAAACGCAAAUUGCUUAUGGGGCCACUCUGUGCGCAUUUUAUACUUGCCUGAGUACAUGCACAUCUAUAUAUGGGAAACUCGUCAAGGAAGCAGAUUGCAAGCCCGUCAGACCUUAUUAUACUAAUUGUUCUUGCCUCCUCUGCGUCUAGCAUUACUCUUUGCCAUGAUGUAAAACAAUGGGCAAUGAUGUGAGCUAGUAAUAAAAUAUUAUUCUCAAUUGAAUGUGAGAAUGUAUGUGAUCACUAAUUUUGGAUGUUAUUGUAAUUUGAUUUUAUUC